rnacentral:lncRNA from 1 species
CUCAUGCAUACUCUCCAUUUCUUCUAUAUGUCUACUUUGUAAAUCCCUGGUGCCAGGAUAAGAUUUGGUAUUAACUGGCCGAGAGAUAAUGACAUUAACUGGUCAUGUUAUUCUAACUACUUGUCCAAGUAAACACACUGAUAGGAAUAGGUUUUUCUAUUGAGUUGCUUGGUGUCUCUUUUGCACCCAACUGCCCUUCGGUUAGUGUUGGUAUUAACAUGUGCAAUCAGGAAUUUUAUACUUUUGUAUCUGCUCUCAUAGGUCCAACAACAUUCCUCUUACCUGAAUUCAUUGUCACCAAUCUUUCAGUACUUUUUCAAAGUCCUAAACAACUAGAAAGAUUUUUGUCCAUGUUUAUGAGUCCAUUUAUUCUGCCAGACCACUUAUCUCUCCAGAGAAAGAUGAAAAGGUACACUGGCCAAAGCUUUGCCCACUGGGAGUAUUUCCCUUCACCACUACCUUUGAAUGUCACUGUAGAGUGUGUCUGCCAUUUAGCUUUGUUCCUCCUCUGUCAGAAAGUCAUAAAUGAUGCCCCGAUGCACCAUACGUGUGAGUUAAAGGAGAGAAAUCCAUUUAAAAGUGUGAUUGAUUUGGGGUUGGAAUGGUCUGCGUAUUCAGCUUACUCAUGCCCUCUCCAGAUGUAUUACUUCCAACUUAUGACUUGGUCGCUUUGACAGAACCCAACUCAUGAUGGAUAAUUAUGGGCACACAGUUACUUUUAAGCCCUACUUGUUAGGAUCUCUUAGUUCUAUGGCCUAGUAACACAAUAGAAUAAAUGUGUCAUUUUACGGCCCAUCACAUACCCUUGCCACCUAACUCAACCAGGGCUCACCUUAUAUUGUUAUUCUCCUAUUGGAUCCUUCAGAAAAUUUCACAUGACAUCUUUACUCUCCAUAGAUAUUUCUAUUGCCAUAGGAUCUGAGGGUUUAUCGCCCACAUGGCAAAUCUACUAAUACCAUAGCCUACAAUUACUGGAUAAUCCUUUCUUAUUUUGAAUCUCAGGCAACACGGGUAGUCUUUGUAUCACUUCAAAUGGGUCAGAGCAGCAUUUCCAAGUAUGACACACACCACUUCCAGAAUCUGAACAGCCUUGCCAGAAUGCCAUGCUCUACUUGACAUCUUCAUAGCUUUCUGAAGGUCAGGCCCUAUAUUUGCUGGCCUCAGUGCUCAUGGUUUUGAACUAAAAUGUGUCCCCUCCAAAUUCGUAUUUCACAGCCCCAUGCUCAAGGUGACUGCAUUUGAAGACGAGUCCUUUAAUAUGAGAUAGGGUCAUUAAGGUUAAGUGAGGUCCUAGGAAUGAAGCCCUAGUAUGAUAGGUCUGGUAUCCUCAUAAGAGAAAGAUAUCAGGGUAAAGACAAUGCGAGAACAGUAAGAUAGAGUAUAUCUUAAAGUCAGGUGGAGAAUUCUCACCAGAAAUCAACCCACUAGCACCUUGAUCUUGGACUUCCUAGCUCCAGAACUAUAAGAAAACGCAUUUCUAUUCUCUUAGCACCCAGUCUAUGGAAUUUUGUUGUGGCAGCCUGAGCAGAUUUAUACUCAUUAUAAGUGAUGAUGUAUGCCUUGCUUUUGAUGGAACAUCUACCAACUAGCCUCUAUUGUUGCUAUUAUUGAAUCCAGUUGUGUAAAAGCAUCUUCCAUUAUAAGUCCUGGUAUUCAAAGGACAGCUUCCAUCAAGAAUUCUCAAGAAUACUCCAUGUUGCUUUUUUCCAGCCCGUUCUUUAUCACUUUCAUACAUGGAAUCUCUUUUGGGCCUUGAUGCUGAACUAUUCAGCUGGUCUAUCUUCCAGCUUUAAAUAUAUACCCAUUAUAUCCUGUUCAUUCUAUGAGUCUUUUGAUUCUUUCUUCCACUAUUUACCUGGCCAGUUAUGUAAUGUCUGUAUCACUUUCUAAAAGAUUCUGAGAACCAUGCUAACACUAGCUAGUAUCCUAGUUAGCAAUAUCUCUUGGAAUUUUUAGCAAUUAUUAUAAAAUAUAAAAUAAAUCCUAUAUGAUAGAAGAGUGAUCAUAUACCUACCAACUCCAGUAUCCAACUCUGUAUUCUGCUCUUGCUGACCUAGCAUCCUCAGAACCUGUACCCUAUAUAUUUUUCUGGUUCCUACUGCUACAUGUUUCUGUAUUCUGAAGUUUUUUUAGGAUAUAAUCCCUUUCUUCCUUAGACUACUCAGUCCUUCUCUGGCCAAGUUAUGUACUAGUUGGACCCUGGCUUUUGAGCUAACAGCCAGCUCAUAAGGAGGUGACCUCUGAAUUUUCUUCAAGCAAGUAAAGAGCUCUUCCUCUAACAGGGAGAAACAUGCCACUUCUGCAAGUGAGGAGAGUUCAGAGGAAUCUGUGGUUCCAGUGUUUUGAAUAUACAUGUCUCAGGGCCUCAUUCUUUCCCAACUAGGUUCCUUACCUUUGCACAGCAGAUUAGCUAAGGCUGAAAACAACCUUCUCUGAAGUUCUACUACUCCUAAGUUCUGAAGGUGAGCCUCAAUUUUCCUGCCUUCAGGCUCAGGAGAUAAGUCUCUUUGUAUACUUUAAAGAGAGUAUACUUAUAUACUUAAUAUAAGGCCCUUUAACUUUUAAACUCCCUUUCAAUUGGUGAUUAGUCAUUCCCUAUCUUCUAUUAGCUUUGUGCCGUACAUCAAGCACUGAGGAAAAGCCAUCAGUUUACCUUGUCUUUAUAAUUACUAUUUAUCAAAUUUCAUAUGACUCCUACCAGCACUAUCUUUCACCAAUUUCUGGUUCAAAAUCAUUAUUCUGAAAGUUUUAACAAUUAUAGCAUAUUAGGGUUAACAUCACUCCACCAAACACUAGGGCUUUUCAUUGCCUGUGAGAUGGCCAGUCUAGCUUUAAAGCCCUUUUUAGAGUUUUCUUCUUUGGGCCACUUCUGGUACCAAUUGUCUUAUAUCUCAGAAAUAGACUUAGAGAAGGAGAUUUGAGUGUAAGAAGUUUACAGAGAAUACCUCCAGGCAUGGCACCUAUAGGAUAUGAAGUCUAUAUAUUGAGCAGAGGGGAGAUUUAAGCUAUGUUGUACUUGCAACAGAGGCUGCAUUCAUCCCACUGGGAAUUUAAGAGCUGGAACAAAGCUUCACAAAUGCAUCUCUGAAGGUAGGGGGGCCAGAUUUAUAGGCUGUGACAAACAAGACAUGGGAAGUAGGCUGUCCCCAAGGAGAGGACAUAGUUUUAGGUUUGGUUGUUUCUCUGAUGAGGAGAAAACUCAGCUCUGAGCAGUCAGUCACCAAUCCUCUCAGAAGCAGGGGAAAGAAUACCUUAUUUCUAAAGGUAUUCACUACAGGCUAGCUUUGUCUUUGUGUCUCACUUCUUUAGCUAUAAAUAUAAGAAGAUAGUAGGACCACUCUUAUCAGGUGAGUAAAAGGAUUGCAUGAUUUUAUUCAUGUAAAGUAUCCACUACUGUAUAGUAAGCAUUCAAGAUAGUUAGGUUCCAACACAAUAUACUAAUGUUUUAAUAAUAUUACUAACCGUGGCUUAUCUGAGUUAAAACAAUAUUGACUUAAAACAAGACUAGGCUUCCAUAUUUCAUUAAGAAAUGCUUGUUAAAUUGUCUUAUAUAAUUCAACUUGUUACCUAAAAGAACCCCUAAGCAAAUAGAAGCAGCAAUAGUGAGGACUAAUUCCAAAAGUUUCCUUUAAGAAAAUUCUUGCUACCAUCUUGCCAUUUAUUCAUAGGCAGUUAUGGAAGAGUAGAGAUAUUUAUGAUAGGCUGGCAUUAUUCUCUUGUAGACAAUCCCCAAGCCAUAGGUUAUAAAUAAGGAUGGUUCUGGGGUCUAGGAGGAGUGAGAAAGUUGAAAAAUGGAUGAACUGACUCAAGCAAGAGAUUAGGGUGGGGAGUUCUGGGCAACCACAGUGGAUAUUGAGAACCAGUGGGAAAAUAUUUAUUGGCAAUUGAAUAAUAAAUGGAAGCAGAACAUAGACAGUUCUGGAGUCAGAUAGGCUUGUUUGUGAAUCCUGAAUCAGACUGUAGAUGUAGAGAUCAUCUUAACUGGCUCAAGCUUAUCAAGCAACUGCUUCUCAUGAAUUGUUCAAGGAGCAUAAGAACCUUGCCUAGCUCACAACUGUGUUGUGGAAACUAAGACAAAGCAUUUAAAGUUCUCAGCAUAAUGCAUGGUACAAGGUGGAUAUAAAUAUCUAUUUGCUAUUAGAAUUAUUAUAAAGCAUCACCAAGAGCAGGACAUUAGCUCAGGCAAGUGAUGGUAGCGAUAAUGAUUAGUAAUAGAGCAUGUUAUCCAGAACUACCUAACCUAAUCUUUGUCCUCAAGGAACUUACCUCAGAUAUUUUAUAGCACUUAAAAGAGUUUCUGGAUUUACCUUGAUAAACGGUCACAAUUAGACUCUGUACUUGGAACUUAGCAAAAAAGAAACCAAUGUAUUUUUCAGAUGUAGAAAGUGUUUCCAUGGUUUGCCUUUUCACCAAUCCUUUCUAGUACCUACACUCUUUCUUGUUUGUCUUCUCCUUUAGGAAAGUAUUAAAACCCUUUCCCUUUCAUGACAGGCAAUGAAAAGGGAGCUGUGUUUCUGCUGGACCUGGCUUGGAUUUGUUGACAUUGAGCUGAAAUUGGAUAAUCAAUUCAUUAUUUAUAGACCUGUUCACAUAAUGGAAAACAUUUAUUUCACUUUUCCCUUAAAAAAAAGCCACACAAUAAAAAAAUGUUUAAUUAAUGACAUGUGCAAAGCAUGUCUUAAGCAAAGAUUUACUUGUUUUAUGGGUUUGGCAAAUUCUUUUAGCCAUUUCCUUCCAGAUGCUGACAAGCCUGUUUGUUUAUAUGCAUUAGCUCUUCUAAAAAUCAGCCAAGUGGAGUUCCCGUCGUGGUGCAGUGGUUAACGAAUCCGACUAGGAACCAUGAGGUUGCAGGUCAGAUCCCUGCCCUUGCUCAGUGGGUUAAGGAUCCAGCGUUGCCUUGAGCUGUGGUGUAGGUCGCAGACGCGGCUCGGAUCCCGCAUUGCUGUGGCUCUGGCAUAGGCUGGCGGCUACAGCUCCGAUUAGACCCCUGGCCUGGGAACCU